GACGACGCUGGCGGCGUGGAUUAGGCAUGCAAGUCGAACGGUAUCAUCCUUUCGGGGGUGAGAGAGUGGCGAACUGGUGAGUAACACGUAGGUUAUCUACCCUCAAGACGGGACAACCCAGGGAAACUUGGGCUAAUACCGGAUGUGAGCAACUUUUAGUUGUUUGAAAGGUGGCGUAAGCUGUCGCUUGGGGAUGAGCCUGCGUCCUAUUAGUUAGUCGGUGAGGUAACGGCUCACCUAGGCAAUGAUAGGUAGGCGGCCUUAACGGGUGGUCGCCCACACUGGGAUUGAGAUACGGCCCAGACUCCUACGGGAGGCAGCAGUCGAGAAUAGUCUACAAUGGUCGGAAGACUGAUAGUGCGACGCCGCGUGAACGAUGAAUCCCUUCGGGGUGUAAAGUUCUUUUAUAUGUGAGCAGUGCUUCUUAUAUUAACAGUAUGGGGAGAGAGAUAUUAGCAUAUGAAUAAGCAACGGCUAACUCCGUG
rnacentral:rRNA from 1 species